rnacentral:rRNA from 1 species
AUAAUUCAGCGGAGGAAGAGAAACCAAAAGGGAUUCCCCUAGUAACGGCGAGUGAAAAGGGAAUAGUCCAUCGCAAAGGCUUAUUACCUUAACUGGUGAUAAGCGGUGCUGCGUUAACACCAAUGCGCUAAGCAGUGUACCAUUGAUAUACAAGUCCCUUUGACAAGGGCCAUUACCCAUAGAAGGUGCUAGGCCUUUAGUAUAUUCAUUGGUUAUGCUGCCAGCAUUGGUGUGUCAGAGUUAGGUUGCUUGAGAGUGCAACCUGAAGCAGGAGGUAUGCUCCUCCUAAGACUAAAUACGAAGGCAAUACCGAUAGCAAACAAGUACCGUGAGGGAAAGUUGCAAAGAAUUUUGAAGAGAAAGUUCAAAAGGACGUGAAACCGCUUGUAGGGAAACGGGUGGAACCACGAAGUGUAACUGAGAGAGGAACUCAACCAUCGUUGAUGGCUGCUUGGGUGCAUGACUAAAGGUUCUGAAUCUCUAGGACCAUGUAUCCCUUGCGUAAGCCUCCCAAUGGUGGCGCAUUUUCCAUUCUCUCGAGUUCGAGCCAUGACCAAUGGUGCUGAUGGUCCAUGUAAAUGCCCUUACCCGGCAAUCGCUGGUCUCCAAGCAUGCCUAUAAUGACUUUAAUCGGUCAUAAGGUUGAAUUGGUGUCAGUGGUAAGCAUGUGACCUGAACCUAUUGGGAUAUACAAAUCUCUGCCUAGCAGGGUGAUGAUGUCAGAAGUGCCUUAUGCCAGGCGCCUGAAAGCUUCAGUUGUUUGGGAAUCCUUUCUUUACUAUGUACUGAAAGAUCUCGGACUCUGGAGCCUUCGAGAAGGGUGUUUGUGCAGUUGAGGUAUCUAAUGCUUCUAUAUGUAUCUAUGGCCAGUAGGUCGGUACUCCACCCGACCCGUCUUGAAACACGGACCAAGGAGUCUAACAUAUGCGCAAGUCGAUCAGUCUUGACUAGGCUUGAUAGGCGUAAUGAAAGUAAAUACUUGUUGCUAUCACUUUAACGGUGGUAGUGAUAGUAUGACCCUGUUUUUCAGGGCUCUGUGUGCUUUAACGGCAGCAGAGUUGCUGGCAGGUGCAAUACUGGCCCGUCUAUACUGCUUUUGUCAGUUUGGCGGAGCUUGAGCGCAUACGUUGGUACCCGAAAGAUGGUGAACUAUGCCUGGGCCAGAUGAAGCCAGAGGAAACUCUGGUGGAAGUCUGCAGCGGUUCUGACGUGCAAAUCGAUCGUCAGACCUGGGUAUAGGGGCGAAAGACUAAUCGAACCAUCUAGUAGCUGGUUUCCUCUGAAGUUUCCCUCAGGAUAGCUGGCACUAGUACGGAUGACAGUAGCAUCCGGUAGAGCGAAUGAUUAGAGGUAUUGGGAUCGAAACGAUCUCAACCUAUUCUCAAACUCCGAAUGGGUGCGAAGUUUGACUUGUUGGAACAAUACAAAUAAAGUUGAACAUACUACGUAUGUUAGUGCCUAGUGGGCCAUUUUUGGUAAGCAGAACUGGCGCUGUGGGAUGAACCAAACGUUCGGUUAAGGCGCCGAAUGCUGACGCUAAUCAGAUCCCAUGAACGGUGUUGGUUGCUAAAGACAGCAGGACGGUGGCCAUGGAAGUUGGAAUCCGCUAAGGAGUGUGUAACAACUCACCUGCCGAAGCAACUAGCCCGAAAAAUGGAUGGCGCUCAAGCGUCGAGCCCAUACCGAACCGUGAGUGCAAUCUGACCAAACUCUUUGAAAAGAGAGAAGCACUCACGAGUAAGAGGAACGCAGUAGUAGCGUCGAAGGGACAGAUGUAAAUCUGCCUGGAGCUGCUACUGUUGCAGAUCUUGGUGGUAGUAGCAAAUACUCAAGUGAAAACCUUGAGGACCAAAGUGGAGAAGGGUUUCAUGUGAACAGUAGUUGAACAUGGGUCAGUCGGUCCUAAGAGAUGCGGAGAAAUCCGUACCAAAGUCCCAGAUAUAUGAUAUACUAUGAUUGAGAGAUUUUAACCAUUGAAAGGUGGUUGCUUUCUUUCAUAAAUAUAUUAAAUUUUCUGUGUUGACUGAGGUGAUUCUCGAAAGGGAAUCGGGUUAAUAUUCCCGAACCUAGUCAUGGAAAUAGCCUACUUUUCGGAGUAGGCAAAUGCGGUAACGCAAAUCAGCUAAGAGAUGCUGCCAUAAGUCCUGGGGAGAGUUGUCUUUUCUUUGUAAGGAUCCAAGUCCCUGGAAUCGGUUUGACCGGAGAUAGGGAUGUAGGAACCGUAAAGCACCGCGGCUCUUGCGGUGUCCAGAGCGCUUAUGGUGGCCCUUGAAAAUCUUAGCUGGAGAUGAUUAUUUUCAUGCUAGACCGUACCCAUAUCCGCAGCAGGUCUCCAAGGUGAACAGCCUCUGGUCUCUAGAAUAAUGUAGAUAAGGGAAGUCGGCAAAGCAGAUCCGUAACUUCGGGAUAAGGAUUGGCUCUGAAGACUGAGCUGGUCGGGCUGAGGUCUGAAGCAAGUUAUGCAUUGCGCCGAGACUGGGUGCGGAAGGCAUAGUUCCAU